UACGUAGGGUGCAAGCGUUUGUCCGGAAUUAUUGGGCGUAAAGAGCUCGUAGGCGGUCUGUCGCGUCUGCUGUGAAAACUCAGGGCUUAACCCUGAGCUUGCAGUGGGUACGGGCAGACUAGAGUGCGGUAGGGGAGACUGGAAUUCCUGGUGUAGCGGUGAAAUGCGCAGAUAUCAGGAGGAACACCGGUGGCGAAGGCGGGUCUCUGGGCCGAUACUGACGCUGGAGGAGCGAAAGCGUGGGGGAGCGAACAGG
rnacentral:rRNA from 1 species